UACACCUAUAGGGUCGCGCUAUUCGUCAACCUGGGUAAGGAAUAAUUAUUCUUUACCCCUCUCAAUUUUGACAUCAAUGCAUCGUAUUUUUGCGUUUCAUAAAUUUUGUCUUAUUUCAUACAUAAAAAGAGAGUGUAAGAAAAUAUGUACUCAUUGUAAAAAAUAUAUUAUGUUACGUAAAAUUACGAAUCUCCACUAUUAUUAAACAAUCAAACAAGAACUUCUCUAAACACACCUCACAAAAUGUACACAGAUCCAUUAUCACCGUAAGAUUGAACCCACUAAACUUAAUCUAACUGUUUAUCUUAAUCUAAUUUUUCUCUUGUGUGUACUUAGUAAUUUAGAUUGACUGAACAAACUCCACCGCAGAGGAAACUUCACGCCCGCAAAAUCAAUCCCCGUAAGUCACGCAAGGCAUGAAAAAAAAUGUGAAGAAAUUACUCACCUCAGAUAAUAAUUCAACGAAUCUCCUGCAAUCACGCACAAAACUAACGCACAAUGCCCACGCUCCCUCCCCAUCGCCGCCAUGGGAACAGGAGCGGCGCCGCCGCGCCCCCAGCCUCGUGUCGCCCGCAGCAUGCCGCGCGCCGCUCGGCCUGCAUGUCCUCCCUCGAGAAGCGGCGGCGCGGAACCAGAGUGGUCGGUCUGCGUCAGUGGCGGCAAGGUCCAUCUCCUCCCUCGACCAGCGGCUGCAGACCAGGACGCAGCGGGCGGCCACAGACGCGGCGGUGGAUGCAGGCCACGGUAGCAGAGCUAUGCGUGGCGGCCCUUGUGGCGCGGCCGCGAUGAUGCCGUGGCAGCUGCGCGGCGGAGGGUGUGUGCGUAAAGGGUGCGCAUUCCUCCGGCUUCCGACAUCCCGCAGCAUGGAAGGCCUGGACUGCGAGAGGGAGGGCAGCCUAUGGAGUGCCGUGGGGGUGUAGCUGGCUAUGAGGUCUGGAGAGGCGGCUAGGAAGAUGGUCGCGUCCAUGACACACACGUCGCUCUCUGCAUCACACACUUUGUCCUUUGUCUUCCUCCAGAUCUUGUUUUCUCGACAUCUAUAGUCUAGAUCGAAGGAAGAUUCGCUUCUUUGCCAAUUCUCCAUGCCAUUCAUUCAUCUCCAAGAUAUUAAUCUUAUAUCUUACAACACAAAGCUUACUUUGAACUCCUUAUGAUUAGUCUAUCAGAUGUAUUUGCAGUAACUCUUAUCUAGAAAUAUGUCUCACAAAAGAAAUGCCAUCAUUCAUAGAUAUAGUUGAUAGUCUUGAUUCCAGAGCCGUGAUGACACUAGGUUAAGAACCACCAAAAAGAGAAUGAAGUUCUAUGUAAUAAUGUGGCAAAAUCUUUUUUUUGUUCAUGUGUUCUAUCUGACGUGAUUUUUCUUGCUACUAACUUUCCUGCUCCUGACAUAUAAACUCCUGUUUGCAGCACUUGGAUAUACGUAGUUGUAUCAAAAUUCCCUUCUUACAACAUGGCUUGCUGCUACCAGGAAUAUUAGAUUGGAAGCACCUACAUUGGACUAGAUUAAUUUGAUUUCUUUAUUAUAGCUUGCUUCCUCAUUGACUUCGUAAUAGUGAUAGUUGUAGUUUGAAAGUAUUUUGUUUCAUCUUUGGCAUGUUAUUCAGUUUUCAGAAUUGAUCUCCAAGUGUUUAUGAUGGUGUGACUGAAUGUUGAGUAAGUCCCACCUAUGGAACCUCAUAAGGCUAAGGCAUUCAGACUAGAUGCGUGGAUUAUGUGGUUUCUCACUAGAUGUCUUCAUUCACUGUAGUUGAUGGUGUUGGAAACAAUAUAUGGACACUUGGUUAUUUCUUUGAGUUGACACACGUCCAAUAAGAAAUCUGCGCUGACAAAAUGAGAGAGGAAUUCAGCCCUAAAUAAAGCACUAACAGUGAAACCGGCAUAUAUUUUAUCACUUGGUCCUUCUAUCAAUGAAGCAAUGUCAAGAGGUAACGGAUGCAGUGUGGAUAAUGCAGAACUCUUGGUAGCCAAGAGCCUCACACAUGGAUGUCAAUCGGGGCUUCCGUCCCACACCACUUUGUUGGCCACGACCGCAAUCGUCCCGGCAUCACCCUCCCGCCGUCGUAAAAGAUCCGGCAUUGCUGCCCACACCCCUGCUUUGCUGCAUACCACUUCUCUAACAUGUACAGUGGGCCGGCAAGCAUGCGACUAAAGACGAUCAGUGUAAUCUUACCAAGAUCAUGUGCUUUUUUAUCUCUGGUUCUUGCAAGACGAUUCUUUGCAGUACGUGUCAGGUUAGUGAGUUGAAUCGAACGAAUCCUCUGGCCACUUAGGUCUUUAAGCCCCGGUUCUUGCUUUUGUAGUUUUGUUUAUUCUCUUCCAAUUUUUGAGCCAAGGUUGGAAUGUUGAGUCGGCAGAAAAAUGUGUCGUAUCCAUAAAAAAUGUUCUUUGCACAACAAUUAUACAUACGAGGAAAAGAGCAAGAGGUAUUGGUGAAUA